AUGAUCCUACGGGGGGCAGCAGUGAGGAAUAUUGGUCAAUGGUCGGGAGACUGAACCAGCCAAGCCGCGUGAGGGAGGAAGGUACAGAGUAUCGUAAACCUCUUUUGUCAGGGAACAAAGACUGGGACGCGUCCCCGGAUGAGUGUACCUGAAGAAAAAGCAUCGGCUAACUCCGUGCCAGCAGCCGCGGUAAUACGGAGGAUGCGCGCGUUAUCCGGUUUUAUUGGUUUUAA
rnacentral:rRNA from 1 species